GAAGCAGGCCAAACGAUCGCUGGAUUUUAUCCAGAGGAAAGUCCGAACACCAUAGGGCAGGGUGCUCCAUAACGUGGAGUCGCGGCAACGUGAAGGAAAGUGCAACAGAAAGUAUACCGCCUGGCGCUUGAUUUUCAUUUUAUGGAAAUUAAGCGCCAGGUAAGGGUGAAAAGGUGCGGUAAGAGCGCACCAGUUUCCCGGGUGACCGUGGAAGCUCGGUAAACCCCACCCGGUGCAAGACCAAAUAGGGGAGUGUUUGAGGACGGCCCGUCCGAGCUCUCGGGUAGGUCGCAAGAGGUGUCGGGUAACCGGCAUCCAGAGAUGAAUGAUCGUUAUCUGGUAAGGGGUAACCUGAACCAGGCACAAAAUUCGGCUUAUGGUCUGCUUUGGCC
rnacentral:RNase_P_RNA from 1 species